AUUAGCUUCACAAGCCCAGCUCCUCAGCGUGCAUCAUGGGAAUGUAUUGUUACAUUCUCUGAACGAGUCUCAGUAUGACGGCAAAGUGAUCGAUGGCGAGGAAGCGUUUAAGAAACUUGAGAAGUUUCUUGCCCAAAGGUA